GCAUAUCAAUAAGCGGAGGAAAAGAAACCAACAGGGAUUGCCCUUAGUACGGCGAGUGAAGCGCAACAGCUCAAAUUUGAAAUCUGGCUCUCGGGCCCGAGUUGUAAUUUGUAGAGGAUGCUUUUGAUGCGGUGCUUCCGAGUUCCCUGGAACGGGACGCCAUAGAGGGUGAGAGCCCCGUCUGGUUGGAUGCCAAAUCUCUGUGAAGCUCCUUCGACGAAGUCGAGUAGCUUGGGAAUGCUGCUCUAAAUGGGAGGUAUAUGUCUUCUAAAGCUAAAUACCGGCCAGAGACCGAUAGCGCACAAGUAGAGUGAUCGAAAGAUGAAAAGCACUUUGAAAAGAGAGUUAAAAAGUACGUGAAAUUGUUGAAAGGGAAGCGUUUAUGACCAGACUUGGGCUUGGUUAAUCAUCUGGGGUUCUCCCCAGUGCACUUUUCCAGUCCAGGCCAGCAUCAGUUUUCGCCGGGAAAAAAAGGCUUCGGGAAUGUGGCUCUCUCCGGGGAGUGUUAUAGCCCGUUGCGUAAUACCCUGGCGGGGACUGAGGAUCGCGCAUCUUUCAGUUCUGCUGGCGUAAAAGAACAAUAAACGACCGUCUUGAAACACGGACC
rnacentral:rRNA from 1 species